rnacentral:rRNA from 1 species
AUACGGAGGAUCCGAGCGUUAUCCGGAUUUAUUGGGUUUAAAGGGAGCGUAGGUGGAUUGUUAAGUCAGUUGUGAAAGUUUGCGGCUCAACCGUAAAAUUGCAGUUGAAACUGGCAGUCUUGAGUACAGUAGAGGUGGGCGGAAUUCGUGGUGUAGCGGGGAAAUGCUUAGAUAUCACGAAGAACUCCGAUUGCGAAGGCAGCUCACUAGACUGUUACUGACACUGAUGCUCGAAAGUGUGGGUAUCAAACAGGAUUAGAUACCCUGGUAGUCCACACAGUAAACGAUGAAUACUCGCUGUUUGCGAUAUACAGUAAGCGGCCAAGCGAAAGCAUUAAGUAUUCCACCUGGGGAGUACGCCGGCAACGGUGAAACUCAAAUGAAUUGACGGGG